rnacentral:rRNA from 1 species
GAUGAACGCUGGCGGCGUGCUUAACACAUGCAAGUCGAACGGAAAGGCCCUGCUUUUGUUGGGUGCUCGAUAGGCGAGCGGGUGAGUAACACGUGUGUAACCUCCCCUUGUCUUUGGGAUAACUUCACGAAACUGGGGCUAAUACCGCAUAGGAGCUCCUGCUCCACGUUGGUGGUUGGAAAGUUUCGGCGGUUGGGUUUGUACUAGCGGCUUAUCAGCUUGUUGGUGGGGUAGUUGCUUACCAAGGCUUUGACGGGUAGCCUGCCUGGGAGGGUGACCGGCCACAGUGGGACUGAGGAGGGGGCAGGACGGCAUCGGGAGGAAGGGGUGGGGAAUAGUGCGCAAAGGGCGGAGGCAGGGAGCAGCAACGCCGGGUGGGAGAAGACGGCUAUCGGGUUGGAAACCGUUUUCGCGUGUGAGGGAGCGUGAGUGAGGGUAAUGGGUAAAGAAGCACCGGUUAAUUAGGU